rnacentral:tRNA from 2 species
GUUAAAGUGGCAGAUAAAUGCAAGGAAUUUAAGCUUCCUUAAUGAAAAUUCCUUUAAUA